AGAACGAACGCUGGCGGCAUGCCUAACACAUGCAAGUCGAACGAGACCUUCGGGUCUAGUGGCGCACGGGUGCGUAACGCGUGGGAAUCUGCCCUUAGGUACGGAAUAGCCCGGGGAAACCUGGAAUAAUACCGUAUAAUGACUUCGGUCCAAAGAUUUAUCGCCUAAGGAUGAGCCCGCGUAGGAUUAGCUUGUUGGUGAGGUAAAAGCUCACCAAGGCAACGAUCCUUAGCUGGUCUGAGAGGAUGAUCAGCCACACUGGGACUGAGACACGGCCCAGACUCCUACGGGAGGCAGCAGUGGGGAAUAUUGGACAAUGGGCGAAAGCCUGAUCCAGCAAUGCCGCGUGAGUGAUGAAGGCCUUAGGGUUGUAAAGCUCUUUUGCCAGGGAUGAUAAUGACAGUACCUGGAGAAUAAGCUCCGGCUAACUCCGUGCCAGCAGCCGC
rnacentral:rRNA from 1 species